UGUAGGCUGAAACUCGCCUACAUGAAGCUGGAAUUGCUAGUAAUCACAGGUCAGCAUACUGUGGUGAAUACGUUCCCGGGCCUUGUACACACCGCCCGUCACACCAUGAGAGUUGAGAAUACCCGAAGUCGGUGAGGUAACCUAUUAGGAGCCAGCCGCCUAAGGUGGGAUAGAUGAUUGGGGUGAAGUCGUAACAAGGUAUC
rnacentral:rRNA from 1 species